GUAAGGGCGACGUUUAGACUGGUGUGGGCAAGUGUCUGGUGUCAAUUUGGGCCAACGUAAGCGGAGGUAUUUGCGAGGCUUGUGGGCGAAAGGUAUCGAGUACAGGGCGGUUGGAGUGGUGUGUGGGGAGAGUGAAUCUGGUCUCCGGAUUGGGUAAAGUAAACUUAGGUUGCGGUAAUGUGAUUAGCUGGAGAGGUGCUUAUGGGGUUUAUGAUUACUUCUAGGCUGUGCUGCCCUGCCGCUGUACCUCGCGGCUUUACCCUGCUGCUUGACUGAUGCCCUGCUCUGCUGUGUGGCUGCUGUCCUGUUCUGCUGUGUAGCUGCUGUUUGGUGGCCAUUUGGUCUUGUUUCUCUAUUACGUUUUGCCUGGUUGCUUUGCUCCUACCGUCUUGCUAUUGUUCCGCCCUGCUGCUUUGCCUUGGUUUGUCUUAUACAUUUUAUUCGGACCACGGGUUUUAUUUGAUAUUUGUGGUUUUUUUAUAUGUUUGGGUUAUUUUAUGGAUGUAUUUUAGGAUAAUUAAGGAUUGUUUCUUUGUUUUGUUUGAUGUAUAAAUUUAUUGAGUUUGUGUUUGGUUGGAUGUUUUCUUUUUGCUUUGAUUCGGAUUGUUUUCUGUGGUUCUUGUCUGGGUGGCCUUGUGGGCUGGGGGUGGCCGUAUACUCUGUGGGGUGGAAGCCUUGGGUAUAAGAGGCCGCUCGGGUUUGUGUGUGAUUCGUGCGGUGUGGGUUUAGUUUUAGGUUUGUGGUAAUGCUGUGAUUUGUUAGCGCUAGCGGCCGGGUAGUACCUUUUGAACGUGUGGUUGUGUCCCCUUCUAGCGCAUAUUGCCUCCCUGCCUGGGGGAUUUACGAGGAAUCAAGACUCCGCAGCGUGUUUUAUUUGUUUUACGUUUAUUUCUGUAUUGUUAAGGUUGUUUUAUCUUUGCUGUGGUGUGAAUAAAAGUGUGUGUUUUUA